UAGUAAUAGGUAUGCUUUAGGAGGGGCUUGCGCCAUAUUAGUUAGUUGGUAGGGUAAUGGCCUACCAAGACGAUGAUGUGUAGCUGGACUGAGAGGUUGAACAGCCACAUUGGGACUGAGACACGGCCCAAACUCCUACGGGAGGCAGCAGUAGGGAAUUUUCGGCAAUGGAGGAAACUCUGACCGAGCAACGCCGCGUGAAUGACGAAGUACUUCGGUAUGUAAAGUUCUUUUAUCAAGGAAGAAAAGCAAAUGGCGAACCAUUUGUUUGCCGGUACUUGAUGAAUAAGCCCCGGCUAAUUAUGUGCCAGCAGCCGCGGUAAGACAUAAGGGGCAAGUGUUAUCCGGAAUUAUUGGGCGUAAAGGGUGCGUAGGCGGUCUAGUAAGUCAGUGGUGUAAUGGCAACGCUUAACGUUGUCCGGCUAUUGAAACUGCUAAACUUGAGUUAGAUAGAGGCGAGUGGAAUUCCAUGUGUAGCGGUAAAAUGCGUAAAUAUAUGGAGGAACACCAGAGGCGUAGGCGGCUCGCUGGGUCUUAACUGACGCUGAGGCACGAAAGCGUGGGGAGCAAACAGGAUUAGAUACCCUGGUAGUCCACGCCGUAAACGAUGAGUACUAAGUGUCGGGUUAAACCGGUACUGAAGUUAACACAUUAAGUACUCCGCCUGAGUAGUACGUACGCAAGUAUGAAACUUAAAGGAAUUGACGGGACUCCGCACAAGCGGUGGAUCAUGUUGUUUAAUUCGAAGAUACCCGAAAAACCUUACCAGGUCUUGACAUGUUUUUGCAAAAUGAUAGUAAUAUCGUGGAGGUUACCAGAAACACAGGUGGUGCAUGGUUGUCGUCAGCUCGUGUCGUGAGAUGUUAGGUUAAGUCCUAAAACGAGCGAAACCCUUAUCGUUAGUUGCCAGCACGUUAUGGUGGGGACUUUAACGAGACUGCCAAUGAUAAAUUGGAGGAAGGUGAGGAUCACGUCAAAUCAGCAUGCCCCUUAUGACCUGGGCUACAAACGUGAUACAAUGGCUGUUACAAAGGGUAGCUGAAACGCAAGUUCUUGGCCAAUCCCCAAAAACAGUCCCAGUCCGGAUUGAAGUCUGCAACUCGACUUCAUGAAGUUGGAAUCGCUA
rnacentral:rRNA from 1 species